rnacentral:rRNA from 1 species
CCUACGGGUGGCUGCAGUGGGGAAUUUUGGACAAUGGGGGCAACCCUGAUCCAGCCAUGCCGCGUGCGGGAAGAAGGCCUUCGGGUUGUAAACCGCUUUUGUCAGGAGAGAAAUCUCUUGGGCUAAUACCCUGAGAGGAUGACGGUACCUGAAGAAUAAGCACCGGCUAACUACGUGCCAGCAGCCGCGGUAAUACGUAGGGUACAAGCGUUAAUCGGAAUUACUGGGGGUAAAGCGUGCGCAGGCGGUUGAAAUCCCCGGGCUUAACCUGGGAACUGAACGUGUGACUGCACGGCUAGAGUACGGCAGAGGGGGAUGGAAUUCCGCGUGUAGCAGUGAAAUGCGUAGAUAUGCGGAGGAACACCGAUGGCGAAGGCAGUCCCCUGGGCCUGUACUGACGCUCAUGCACGAAAGCGUGGGGAGCAAACAGGAUUAGAUACCCUGGUAGUC